rnacentral:snRNA from 1 species
ACCGUUGAUUCGCACAAU